rnacentral:lncRNA from 1 species
GUGAGAUGGGGCUGGGGGUGGGCAGGGAAAAGAUGCAUCAUUCACUUUCAUUGAGGUCACACUGCCCUUCUCUGCUCUUUUCAGAGAAAAGCUUUUUUUUUUUUUUUUUUUAAUACAUGCACGCCACACUCACUCACACGUGCAUGCUCCCUGCAAGAAGCCAACAAAGCAUUUUGGUCAUCUAUAGGCCCCUCAGCUUCUUCAAAGUUGAGUAAGAUUAAAAAAGCCUGACAUCUCCGAGAUUCCUCAGCAACGGUUUAUGUACCUGCAUAGGCAGAUGAACAAGAGACUGGGGGAGGCAUUAAAACACAUGUACGUGUAUGAUGGAUAGAGAGAGAGAGAGAGAGAGAGAGAGAGAGAGAGGAACAGAGCAAGAAUAUGAUACAGAUCAAUGUCUCCCCAUAUUGGGGGAGUCUUUUUGUUUCAGGCCACAGUGGUAGUGCAUUGGAAGGGUUCUGGAAUUUCAGAACACAAAGUAGCAGUUUUAAAUAAUGAGAGAAGAUUCCACAUGGAACGCUCAUCUGGCUGUGGCAGCCUGUGACUGAAUGAGAGAAAAGUGCCCUAGAAGCUAUUCAUUACGAAUUCACUGGAAGCUCUCAAACGAGGCUGGCAGAAGCUGAAAUUGAAGUGGUCUCUGACCUAAUUUUCUUCUGCAUGAAACAUCUGCAUCAAGGCUCUCUUUGAUGUAUUCCACUUGGCUCUGUCUACGGGAUUGUAUCACAUGGCCUCCGUGUUGCCUCCUUAUUGAAAGACAUUUCCAGCCUGUGCAAGGUAUUGUCACCUUCCUGCUUCUAUGCUUCACGAAGUUUCACCCCACCUCCUCUUCCUGGAAAUCUUCAUGUGCAGAAUGUUCAGUAGGUCAUCUCAGAGCUUCAUUCCAACUCCACUCAAGCUGCUUCGUGCCUACAAGGACAGUAGGAGAAGAGGACAGACAGGGACUCAGGCUUGAAGGCAGUGGGCACGAGGAGUGAGGGGAAGUAGGAAACAGAGGAAGAGGGUAAAAUCGCAGAAGAGAAAGAAGUGAGAGCAAAGAAGCCACUGAGUGUGUGGACAGCAUAGAAAAUGGCUGGAGAUUACAGGGGGGAUGGUACUCUUAAGCUGGUGGGACAAUCAAAAUAUACGAAUUGUAAAGGUUAAGUGAAAUGUUUAUUUUAUUCCUUUCUCCUCAGUCAGCCUGACUGAAU